GGCGAACGGGUGAGUAACACGUGGGUGAUCUGCCCUGCACUUCGGGAUAAGCCUGGGAGACUGGGUCUAAUACCGGAUAGGAGCCAUUUUUAGUGUGAUGGUUGGAAAGUUUUUCGGUGUAGGAUGAGCUCGCGGCCUAUCAGCUUGUUGGUGGGGUAAUGGCCUACCAAGGCGGCGACGGGUAGCCGGCCUGAGAGGGUGGACGGCCACAUUGGGACUGAGAUACGGCCCAG
rnacentral:rRNA from 1 species